rnacentral:rRNA from 1 species
UACGAAGGGGGCUAACGUUGCUCGGAAUCACUGGGCGUAAAGCGCACGUAGGCGGAUUGUUAAGUCAGGGGUGAAAUCCUGGAGCUCAACUCCAGAACUGCCUUUGAUACUGGCGAUCUUGAGUCCGGGAGAGGUGAGUGGAACUGCGAGUGUAGAGGUGAAAUUCGUAGAUAUUAGGAAGAACACCAGUGGCGAAGGCGGCUCACUGGCCCGAUACUGACGCUGAGGCACGAAAGCGUGGGAGCAAACAGGG